AGCGCUAGGAUUAAGGGGAUGAGUGCUACCCGCCCUAAGUAGCUGAAUAAGAUAAAAGGGGCAGGGAGCGGUCUCUUGUUGCUUUUUCUGCCUUCCGCUGCCAGGAACUGUGACCUCUCUGCCAACCUGCUGUGGAGCCAGCUGAUUAUGGACUGAAACCUCUAAGAACUGAGGACAUGGCAUAAAGGUGCUGUCUCUAUGGAAGCAGACCCUCCGCAGACCCGGGGACUCGUCAACCUUGAAAUCUGUGAGAAACAAAUGUCUGCCGUUAGAAGCUACCAAUCUCAAUCUAUGCACUCACCGUUGUAUGUGAUGGACGCCACUGAUGAUCAAUAAAGCUCCAUAAAAUGUAACACCUAUCUUCUACAGAAGAUUAUCUACUGCUUUUGUUAUUAUCCAUGAAGCCAAAUGAAAUGGAAAACUAGAUUUUAUUUUUCUUUUGGUGUAUGUUUCUAUGUACAAAAAUGUGUGAGUAUACUUAAUAACUAUAUAUUGGUUUCGACAUGCAAAGUAUGAAAGUCUUAUAUUCAUCCAUUAAGUGAAAUUCAUUCUUGUUCCGUAAGAAGGUAUGAUUAAAGGACACUUGAUAUUUUAUUCAAUAAUACAGCACAAGUAUGUGUAUCUUCACAUCCUGUGAAAGACUUCAUAAAGACACUAAACAUCGACUCCCCUGACUUGUAUGUGUCUGUGUAGUCUGAUUAUUUUACUAUAAACUACUGAGGAGACCAUGUGAGAUGAACAAGUCACACAUUCACUUUCAAAUCAAAAGGUGCUCUAUUAAAU